AGGUCAUUUCAAAGAGAGCUUACAGGACGAAAACCAGGAGCUCUUAACGCUGUGACCAAAGACUGAAGUUCUCCAUAGGAUGUCAUAGUCACUCAACAGUGCUAUGUUUUCCUGAGGAGAUAUAAGA
ensembl:snoRNA